rnacentral:rRNA from 1 species
GAUGAACGCUGGCGGCGUGCUUAACACAUGCAGGUCGAACGGGAAACCUUUUAAUGAAGCUUCGGCAGAUUUAGCUGGUUUCUAGUGGCGGACGGGUGAGUAACGCGUGGGUAACCUGCCUUAUACAGGGGGAUAACAGUCAGAAAUGACUGCUAAUACCGCAUAAGCGCACAGGACCGCAUGGUCCGGUGUGAAAAACUCCGGUGGUAUAAGAUGGACCCGCGUUGGAUUAGCUUGUUGGUGGGGUAACGGCUCACCAAGGCGACGAUCCAUAGCCGGCCUGAGAGGGUGAACGGCCACAGUGGGACUGAGACACGGCCCAGACUCCUACGGGAGGCAGCAGUGGGGAAUAUUGCACAAUGGGGGAAACCCUGAUGCAGCGACGCCGCGUGAAGGAAGAAGUAUCUCGGUAUGUAAACUUCUAUCAGCAGGGAAGAUAGUGACGGUACCUGACUAAGAAGCCCCGGCUAACUACGUG